GGAAAAACCAUUUCCACCGGAAAACAAUAACAAUGCAUGCUUUUGUUGCCCACCAUCCAAUUCAACAUAUAUAUAUAUAAAAUCAUCCAACUUGUCCUGUAAACACUUAAUUCAACAAAAGUCAAUAUAAUUUCAUCCAACACUACUGAAACUGCCUGGUCAAGCACAUUAUAAAGCUCAUUCUUUAAAAGCUGCAAUUAAAACUAUGGUUAUGUACACUGAGGUCUACUGCUUUAUUGAUAUUUGUGGGCUGUGGCUUCCUAUAUGUGAGGUGGAUUUACUGUAUACUAAAAUCCGAAUAUAGACAAGAAACAAAAGUUUCGUUCCUGGAGAAAGUAGAUACAAUUCCCUGGCUUCAAGUUGCUUGUGUACUGACUAGAAAAACUUCAAAAUUUUCUUUUCUUGGCAGAAAAAACCUGGCAAAUAGCAUCAGUCAGAAAAACUGCUUCUUCAGGGCUCUGAUCAGUCUUCCAUACCUUGAAUUUCAAUUCUGAGUAGCUAGUAUCACUCCAUUGCUUAAGCACUGACAUUGAGUAAGGCCCCCUUUUGAUACCAUGUGGACUCACAACAUACCAUAUAGAAGAAUCCAGGUCAUCUGGUGUUUGCUUGCUUUUUGCAAUAUUUGUAUCUUGCUCUUCAUCAUUUCUUAAUUCAAUCAACUCCAUUUGUGGUUCACUUUGCAUGUUCUUCACCUUUUCAUGUUCAACAUCCACUGGUUUCUCUUGCUUUUCUCCUGAAGUAGAAGGCUGAUAUUGCUGUCCUGAACCAGAGGCAAUGGGUUGACCUUGUGGAAUGGAAGCAAGCAAUUGUCCUGAUAUAAGUUCAGGAUGAGAUC
rnacentral:misc_RNA from 1 species